rnacentral:lncRNA from 1 species
AGGUCCUGUGACAACAGGUACGGGCCAGCAUUGGGACAGGCUUUGCCUGUAAGAGGGCUGGUCUGGGGGGACAUCUGAACCCAAUUCAGGAACACCUCACAGGUCUGCCAGCAGGGCUAGACCCGGGGUGAGAUCCAGGGCAACAGGGUCUGCCUGGGAAGCUCAGCUCCGGCACUGCCUGGGGCGUCUCUGCCUACACAGGACCAUUCCUCUCGCCUGGACUCCUCUUGGAGUUUGCCAAGGCUGGCCUCUGCAGAAAUAGGAGACUCCUGGAGGAAGACAGUGGACUUCAGCAAGCUGCACCAAGGAGAAUCCACAGCGGCAGCUGCCCUGCCAGGCGCGGGAUCUCGGUCAAGGUGGAUCAACACAGCCUCAGGUGUGUGCUCUGCCCCACUGAGAUGGCAAGUGCAUUCUUUUCUAUUCCUACGAGGAAAGAGCAUCCGAAAGAGCCUGCCUUCACAUAGGAUGAAUAACAGUGGACCUUGGCUUUGCCUCAGUGUUAUGUGCUAAUAAACCAUGUAUUCUAUGCCCUAAGGAAGCCCAGAGAGAACUGGACAAGCUGGAUAUCCCAAAGAGCAUGGCACUGGCCCACCACAUUGAUUACAUUGCGCUGGCCGGGUGCUAACCAAGAAGCAGCUAACACACUGGGAGUCUUGGUAAGAUGCCUGAGUGCCUGCAGCUGGCAGACAAAUCCUACAAAGAUUCUGGGAACUGCCACUAAUAACACUCUUGGUGGGGAGGUCCCAUAUCCCAUAACCAGGAGCAUACUGGGCCUCCUGUCCACAGCAAAGAGCCAAUUACUGCAUCUUGCAUCUCCCAUGACCAAGAGAGACAGACAAUGCCAGUACGCCUUCUGGAGGCAGCACGUUCCACACACAUGAAGACUACUCCAGCCUAUGUACCAUUGAUAGGAGAAGCUGUCGGCCUUCCCUGAGCCUGCAGCAGGUCGAGGCUGCAGUGCUGGCAGCCCUGUGACUCAGGCCCUGCAGCUGGUCGGACCCUGUGUUAUGAGAGGUAUCAGACGUGGGAAAGCAAUGCUGUGUGUUUAUGGCAAACCACUAUGCCAGAAUCACAGUGCAGGCCCCUGGGAUUCAGAAACAAAGCCGUGCCAUCUGCGGCAGAGGAUUCUGCGAAAAAUUCUGAAAAGUCCCUGUUGAUGUGCUCCUGGGGCCUGGGGUGAUGGAAUACCUGAUUGUGCAUGUGGAACUGCUCAGAUGAGCUGGAUUCUGUCUCACCCCUGGGUCAUGAGGUUGGGGACUCAGAAAUAACCCAUCACAGGUGGGAGUGUGCGUGUGGCAGCAGCAGAAGCAGGAGCAGGAGGCCAAGCAGCGGCAGCUGCCCAGUACCCCCCCCCACCCUCCACAGCAGUCCCCACAGCCCCAGUGGAGGAACCUUCUGGUGAACUGAGGAGGGAGGGACAAGCCCGGCCUCAGUUCAUGGAGGUGUCUGCUCUGCCUGUGGGGCCAGCCCAAAUCGCCUGGCUGCCAUACUCCAGUCUCAGCAAGCUGCCCUUUAAAGAGGGUGAUAUGGUUUGGCUCUGUGUCCCCACCCAAAUCUCAUCUUGAACUGUAAUCCCCAGGUGAUGAGGGUGAGACCUGAUGGGAAGUGAUUGGAUCAUGGGGGCUGUUUUCCCCAUGCUGUUCUCGUGAUAGUGAAGGAGUUCUCAUGAGAUCUGAUGGUUUUAUAAGUGUCUGGCAAUUCCCCUGCUUGCACUUGUCUUUCUCACCCACCACCACGUAAGACGUGCCUGCUUCCCCUUCCGCCAUGAUUGUAAGUUUCCUGAGGCGUCCCCAGCCAUGCAGAACUGUGAG